rnacentral:rRNA from 1 species
CAUGCAAGUCGAGCGGUAACAGGGGGUGCUUGCACCCCGCUGACGAGCGGCGGACGGGUGAGUAAUGCAUAGGAAUCUGCCCAGUAGUUGGGGAUAGCCCGGGGAAACCCGGAUUAAUACCGAAUACGCCCUACGGGGGAAAGCAGGGGAUCUUCGGACCUUGCGCUAUUGGAUGAGCCUAUGUCGGAUUAGCUAGUUGGUGGGGUAACGGCCUACCAAGGCGACGAUCCGUAGCUGGUCUGAGAGGAUGAUCAGCCACAUCGGGACUGAGACACGGCCCGAACUCCUACGGGAGGCAGCAGUGGGGAAUAUUGGACAAUGGGGGCAACCCUGAUCCAGCCAUGCCGCGUGUGUGAAGAAGGCUUUCGGGUUGUAAAGCACUUUCAGUGAGGAGGAAAACCUUAAGGUUAAUACCCUUGAGGCUUGACGUUACUCACAGAAGAAGCACCGGCUAACUCCGUGCCAGCAGCCGCGGUAAUACGGAGGGUGCAAGCGUUAAUCGGAAUUACUGGGCGUAAAGCGCGCGUAGGUGGUUCGAUAAGCGAGAUGUGAAAGCCCCGGGCUUAACCUGGGAACGGCAUUUCGAACUGUCGGGCUAGAGUGUGGUAGAGGGUAGUGGAAUUUCCUGUGUAGCGGUGAGAUGCGUAGAUAUAGGAAGGAACACCAGUGGCGAAUGCGGCUACCUGGACCAACACUGACACUGAGGUGCGAGAGCGUGGGGAGCAAACGGGAUUAGAUCCCUGGUAGUCCACCGCCGUAAACGAUGUCAACUAGCCGUUGGGGAUCUUGAAUCCUUAGUGGCGCAGCUAACGCACUAAGUUGACCGCCUGGGGAGUACGGCCGCAAGGUUAAAACUCAAAUGAAUUGACGGGGGCCCGCACAAGCGGUGGAGCAUGUGGUUUAAUUCGACGCAACGCGAAGAACCUUACCUGGCCUUGACAUCCUGCGAACUUUCUAGAGAUAGAUUGGUGCCUUCGGGAACGCAGUGACAGGUGCUGCAUGGCCGUCGUCAGCUCGUGUCGUGAGAUGUUGGGUUAAGUCCCGUAACGAGCGCAACCCCUAUCCCUAGUUGCUAGCAGUUCGGCUGAGAACUCUAGGGAGACUGCCGGUGACAAACCGGAGGAAGGUGGGGAUGACGUCAGGUCAUCAUGGCCCUUACGGCCAGGGCUACACACGUGCUACAAUGGCGCGCACAGAGGGCUGCAAACUCGCGAGGGUAAGCCAAUCUCUUAAAACGCGUCGUAGUCCGGAUCGCAGUCUGCAACUCGACUGCGUGAAGUCGGAAUCGCUAGUAAUCGCGAAUCAGAAUGUCGCGGUGAAUACGUUCCCGGGCCUUGUACACACCGCCCGUCACACCAUGGGAGUGGAUUGCACCAGAAGUGGUUAGUCUAACCUUCGGGAGGACGAUCACCACGGUG